rnacentral:rRNA from 1 species
ACGAACGCUGGCGGCGUGCUUAACCCAUGCCAGUCGUACGGAAAGGCCCUGCUUUUGUGGGGUGCUCGCGUGGCGAACGGGCGGGUAACACGUGAGUAACCUGCCCUUGACUUUGGGAUAACUUCAGGAAACUGGGGCUAAUACCGGAUAGGACCUCCUGCUGCAUGGUGGGGGUUGGAAAGUUUCGGCGGUUGGGGAUGGACUCGCGGCUUAUCAGCUUGUUGGUGGGGUAGUGGCUUACCAAGGAUUUGACGGGUAGCCUGCCUGAGAGGGUGACCGGCCACAUUGGGACGGAGAUGCGGCCCAGACUCCUACGGGAGGCAGCAGUGGGGAAUAAUGCACAAUGGGCGGAAGCCUGAUGCAGCAACGCCGGGUGCGGGAUGACGGCCUUCGGGUUGUAAACCGCUUUCGCCUGUGACGAAGCGUGAGUGACGGUAAUGGGUAAAGAAGCACCGGCUAACUACGUG